rnacentral:rRNA from 1 species
GAUGAACGCUGGCGGCGUGCCUAAUACAUGCAAGUCGAGCGAACGGACGAGAAGCUUGCUUCUCUGAUGUUAGCGGCUGACGGGUGAGUAACACGUGGAUAACCUACCUAUAAGACUGGGAUAACUUCGGGAAACCGGAGCUAAUACCGGAUAAUAUUUUGAACCGCAUGGUUCAAAAGUGAAAGACGGUCUUGCUGUCACUUAUAGAUGGAUCCGCGCUGCAUUAGCUAGUUGGUAAGGUAACGGCUUACCAAGGCAACGAUGCAUAGCCGACCUGAGAGGGUGAUCGGCCACACUGGAACUGAGACACGGUCCAGACUCCUACGGGAGGCAGCAGUAGGGAAUCUUCCGCAAUGGGCGAAAGCCUGACGGAGCAACUCCGCGUGAGUGAUGAAGGUCUUCGGAUCGUAAAACUCUGUUAUUAGGGAAGAACAUAUGUGUAAGUAACUGUGCACAUCUUGACGGUACCUAAUCAGAAAGCCACGGCUAACUACGUG